GACGAACGCUGGCGGCGUGCUUAACACAUGCAAGUCGAACGGUAAGGCCCUGCUUUUGUGGGGUUCUCGAGUGGCGAACGGGUGAGUAACACGUGAGUAACCUGCCCUUGACUUUGGGGUAACUUCAGGAAACUGGGGAUCAUACCGGAUAGGAGAUCCUGCUGCAUGGUGGGGGUUGGAAAGUUUCGGUGGUUGGGGAUGGACUCGCGGCUUAGCAGCUUGUUGGUGGGGUAGUGGCUUAACAAGGCAUUGACGGGUCGCCGGCCUGAGAGGGUGACCGGCCACAGAGGGACUGGGAUACGGCCAAGACUCCGACGGGAGGCAGCGAUGGGGAACAGAGCAAAAAGGGCGGAAGCCGGAUGCAGCAACGCCGCGUGCGGGAGGACGGCCGUCGGGUUGUAAACCGCUUGCGCCUGGGACGAAGCGAGAGUGACGGUAAUUUGUAAAGAAGCACCGGCUAACUACGUG
rnacentral:rRNA from 1 species